rnacentral:rRNA from 1 species
GACGAACGCUGGCGGCGUGCCUAAUACAUGCAAGUCGAGCGAAGCGGCGGAUGGGUGAGUAACGCGUGGGUAACCUGCCCUUAAGUCUGGGAUAGCAGUUGGCAACAGAUGAUAACACCGGAUACUUAAGGAUGGACUUGCGAGGCAUUAGCUAGUUGGUAAGGUAACGGCGUACCAAGGCGAUGAUGCAUAGCCGGGUUGAGAGACUGAUCUGCCACAUUGGGACUGAGACACGGCCCAAACUCCUACGGGAGGCAGCAGUGGGGAAUCGUCCACAAUGGACGAAAGUCUUAUGGAGCAACGCCGCGUGAGUGAAGAAGGUUGUCGGGUCGUAAAGCACUGUUAUUGGUGAAGCGGUAAUCAACCAGAAAGUCACGGCUAACUACGUGCCAGCAGCCGCGGUAAGAC